AUUAUUGAGAGUUUGAUCCUGGCUCAGGACGAACGCUGGCGGCGUGCCUAACACAUGCAAGUCGAACGGAGACAAUUGGUUCGCUGAUUGUCUUAGUGGCGGACGGGUGAGUAACGCGUGAGCAAUCUGCCCUUCGGAGGGGGACAACAGCUGG
rfam:Sporobacter termitidis DSM 10068 genome assembly, contig: EK05DRAFT_scaffold00002.2